AACGAACGCUGGCGGCAUGCCUAACACAUGCAAGUCGAACGAGACCUUCGGGUCUAGUGGCGCACGGGUGCGUAACGCGUGGGAACCUGCCCUUAGGUUCGGAAUAACUCCCCGAAAGGGGUGCUAAUACCGGAUAAUGUCUUCGGACCAAAGAUUUAUCGCCUUUGGAUGGGCCCGCGUUGGAUUCGCUAGUUGGUAGGGUAAAAGCCUACCAAGGCGACGAUCCAUAGCUGGUCUGAGAGGAUGAUCAGCCACACUGGGACUGAGACACGGCCCAGACUCCUACGGGAGGCAGCAGUGGGGAAUAUUGGACAAUGGGCGAAAGCCUGAUCCAGCAAUGCCGCGUGAGUGAUGAAGGCCUUAGGGUUGUAAAGCUCUUUUAACCGGGAUGAUAAUGACAGUACCGGGAGAAUAAGCUCCGGCUAACUCCGUG
rnacentral:rRNA from 1 species